rnacentral:rRNA from 1 species
UACGGGGGGGGCAAGCGUUGUUCGGAAUUACUGGGCGUAAAGGGCUCGUAGGCGGCCAACUAAGUCGGACGUGAAAUCCCUCGGCUUAACCGGGGAACUGCGUCCGAUACUGGAUGGCUUGAGUUUGGGAGAGGGAUGCGGAAUUCCAGGUGUAGCGGUGAAAUGCGCAGAUAUCAGGAGGAACACCAAUGGCGAAGGCAGCACUCUGGGACGUGACUGACGCUGAGACGCGAAAGCGUGGGGAGCAAACAGG